rnacentral:rRNA from 1 species
GAUGAACGCUGGCGGCGUGCUUAACACAUGCAAGUCGAACGAAGCACUUUAUUUGAUUUCCUUCGGGACUGAUUAUUUUGUGACUGAGUGGCGGACGGGUGAGUAACGCGUGGGUAACCUGCCUUGUACAGGGGGAUAACAGUUGGAAACGGCUGCUAAUACCGCAUAAGCGCACAGCAUCGCAUGAUGCAGUGUGAAAAACUCCGGUGGUAUAAGAUGGACCCGCGUUGGAUUAGCUAGUUGGUGAGGUAACGGCCCACCAAGGCGACGAUCCAUAGCCGACCUGUGAGGCUGACCGGCCACACUUGGACUGAGACACGGCCCAAACUCCUACGGGAGGCAGCAGUGGGGAAUAUUGCACAAUGGGCGAAAGCCUGAUGCAGCGACGCCGCGUGAGCGAAGAAGUAUUUCGGUAUGUAAAGCUCUAUCAGCAGGGAAGAUAAUGACGGUACCUGACUAAGAAGCACCGGCUAAAUACGUG